GAAAUGCGAUAAGUAGUGUGAAUUGCAGAAUUUAGCGAAUCAUCGAAUCUUUGAACGCACAUUGCGCCCCUUGGUAUUCCAUGGGGCAUGCCUGUUCGAGCGUCAUUUCAACCCUCAAGCACUGCUUGGUGUUGGGCGUUUGUCCCGCCUACGCGCGUGGACUCGCCUCAAAGUCAUUGGCAGCUGUUCCCCUUCGGCUCGUAAGCGCAGCACAGUCGGCGCCCGGAGCUCUGGUGGGAUGGCGUCCAGCAAGCUAUAUUUUCAGUCUUGACCUCGGAUCAGGUAGGGUUACCCGCUGAACUUAAGC
rnacentral:misc_RNA from 1 species